rnacentral:rRNA from 1 species
UAAUACGUAGGGGCCUAGCGUUGUCCGGAUUUAUUGGGCGUAAAGAGCUCGUAGGCGGUUUGGUUAGUCAGGUGUGAAAUCUCCACGCUCAACGUGGAGGGGCCACCUGAUACUGCCAUGACUUGAGUCCGGUAGGGGAGUGUGGAAUUCCCGGUGUAGCGGUGAAAUGCGCAGAUAUCGGGAGGAACACCCGUAGCGAAGGCGGCACUCUGGGCCGUGACUGACGCUGAGGAGCGAAAGCGUGGGGAGCAAACAGGAUUAGAUACCCUGGUAGUCCACGCCGUAAACGUUGGGCACUAGGUGUGGGACUCUAUCGACGGGUUCCGUGCCGUAGCUAACGCAUUAAGUGCCCCGCCUGGGGAGUACGGCCGCAAGGCUA